GAAAGAAAUGCCGAUGGAGUUUGAGUCAGCGGAAGCAUCUUCUGAGGAGCACCUGUAAUCAGAAUAUUCUGGAGAAGCUGAACUGAAGAAAGACCUGGAACAGUGUUCACUUCCAAGCUUCACACAGCAACAGGGCUGCUUGUGCAUUCUCUCCUAAUGCUGUGCAGUGUAGUCCUCAUUCCUCCUCUUUGUAGGAGUUUGAAAUGGAUCUAACCUCUUUUGGGCAGCUGGCUGACUUCAAGAUUGCUUUGUGCUACAACCUUCCCUUACAAGAUGAUGCAAG